UCCGAAAGGGGCUAGCGUUGUUCGGAAUUACUGGGCGUAAAGCGCACGUAGGCGGCCUUGUACGAUGGGGGUGAAAUCCCCGGGCUCAACCCGGGAACUGCCUUCAUGACUGCAAAGCUAGAGGAUGCGAGAGGUUAGCGGAAUUCCGAGUGUAGAGGUGAAAUUCGUAGAUAUUCGGAAGAACACCGGUGGCGAAGGCGGCUAACUGGCGCAUUUCUGACGCUGAGGUGCGAAAGCGUGGGGAGAAAACAGG
rnacentral:rRNA from 1 species